GUUACUGUAUAACUGUUGAUUAAUAAGUGAAAAGCAAACCCCCAAUAACUGGGAACAAGAUGGCAGGUAGGGAUACUCAGACGGGGAUUCCACAAACUGGACCCACGAACCCUCAAAUUCACACAUCCAACACAGAACAACCAUUGACCCUUCGUAUACACUCCCAGAACGCCAAGGGGCUGAAUACCCCAGAAAAAAGGUCACUCGCCCUCACAGAUUUCCAGAGAUAUCACGCAGAUAUCGUUUUUGUACAAGAAACACAUUUUCGCAAGAACCAG